rnacentral:rRNA from 1 species
UGCAGUCGAACGGAAAGGCCCACCACCUUGGUGGUGGGUACUCGAGUGGCGAACGGGUGAGUAACACGUGGGUGAUCUGCCCCGCACUGUGGGAUAAGCCUGGGAAACUGGGUCUAAUACCACAUACGACCAUGGCGUAGGGGUCAUGGUGGAAAGCCUUGUGCGGUGUGGGAUGAGCCCGCGGCCUAUCAGCUUGUUGGUGGGGUAAUGGCCUACCAAGGCGGCGACGGGUAGCCGGCCUGAGAGGGUGGACGGCCACAUUGGGACUGAAACACGGCCCAGACUCCUACGGGAGGCAGCAGUGGGGAAUAUUGCACAAUGGGCGCAAGCCUGAUGCAGCGACGCCGCGUGGGGGAUGGAAGGCCUUCGGGUUGUAAACUCCUUUCGCCCGGGACGAAACCCACCUGGUGGGUGACGGUACCGUGGAGAAGAAGCACCGGCUAACUACGUGCCAGCAGCCGCGGUAAUACGUAGGGUGCAAGCGUUGUCCGGAUUUACUGGGCGUAAAGAGCUCGUAAGUGGUGUGUCGCGUCGUCUGUGAAAUUCCGGGGCUUAACUCCGGGCGUGCAGGCGAUACGGGCACGACUAGAGUGCUGUAGGGGUAACUGGAAUUCCUGGUGUAGCGGUGAAAUGCGCAGAUAUCAGGAGGAACACCGAUGGCGAAAGCAGGUUACUGGGCAGUUACUGACGCUGAAGAGCGAAAGCAUGGGGAGCGAACAGGAUUAGAUACCCUGGUAGUCCAUGCUGUAAACCGUGGGCGCUAGGUGUGGGCUGUGUGUUUGCAGUCUGUGCCGUAGCUAACGCAUUAAGCGCCCCGCCUGGGGAGUACGGCCGCAAGGCUAAAACUCAAAGGGAAUUGACAGGGGCCCGCACAAGCCGGCGGAGCAUGUGGAUUAAUUCGAUGCAACGCGAAGAACCUUACCUGGGUUUGACAUGCACCAGAUCGGCGUAGAGAUACGUCCUCCCUUGUGUUGGUGCACA